UGUCAAGUCGGAUGUGAAAUCCCCGGGCUCAACCUGGGAACUGCAUUCGAAACUGGCAGGCUUGAGUCUUGUAGAGGGGGGUAGAAUUCCAGGUGUAGCGGUGAAAUGCGUAGAGAUCUGGAGGAAUACCGGUGGCGAAGGCGGCCCCCUGGACAAAGACUGACGCUCAGGUGCGAAAGCGUGGGGAGCAAACAGGAUUAGAUACCCUGGUAGUCCACGCCGUAAACGAUGUCUACUUGGAGGUUGUGCCCUUGAGGCGUGGCUUCCGGAG
rnacentral:rRNA from 2 species